UCGACCGCCUGGGGAGUACGGCCGCAAGGUUAAAACUCAAAUGAAUUGACGGGGGCCCGCACAAGCGGUGGAGCAUGUGGUUUAAUUCGAUGCAACGCGAAGAACCUUACCUGGUCUUGACAUCCACGGAAGUUUUCAGAGAUGAGAAUGUGCCUUCGGGAACCGUGAGACAGGUGCUGCAUGGCUGUCGUCAGCUCGUGUUGUGAAAUGUUGGGUUAAGUCCCGCAACGAGCGCAACCCUUAUCCUUUGUUGCCAGCGGUCCGGCCGGGAACUCAAAGGAGACUGCCAGUGAUAAACUGGAGGAAGGUGGGGAUGACGUCAAGUCAUCAUGGCCCUUACGACCAGGGCUACACACGUGCUACAAUGGCGCAUACAAAGAGAAGCGAACUCGCGAGAGCAAGCGGACCUCAUAAAGUGCGUCGUAGUCCGGAUUGGAGUCUGCAACUCGACUCCAUGAAGUCGGAAUCGCUAGUAAUCGUGGAUCAGAAUGCCACGGUGAAUACGUUCCCGGGCCUUGUACACACCGCCCGUCACACCAUGGGAGUGGGUUGCAAAAGAAGUAGGUAGCUUAACCUUCGGGAGGGCGCUUACCACUUUGUGAUUCAUGACUGGGGUGAAGUCGUAACAAGGUAACCGUAGGGGAACCUGCGGUUGGAUCACCUCCUUA
rnacentral:rRNA from 1 species